AAAGCUCAUAGAAUUGAUCACUAUAAGCCCAGCACUCACACAACCCACAACUUUAUGCUAAAGUGUAGAUACUUGACAGAGUAUGAGUUUGUUGCUGUCUUUUAAUUACUUGGAACGGGAGAGGUUGGCCUGAACACUCAUCACAUGAGAAUAAUCAAGAGGUUGUCUGCCAACAGAAAACAACUUCAAAAGUACAGAAUGUAGAAUUCAGAGCCUAAACCACUUGGUAGCAUCCCAAGAAGGCAUGUCCUAACAUGUUUUCAGUGUAAGAGAGCUUCAGCAUUCCAGGCUUUUAAAAGACUGUCUCCUGUUACAGCUAAAGGGAGCUGCGUGUCCUUUUCCACACUCUGAAUUCAUGGAAUCUGGAAGUCUGAUUCUGGAACACUCAUUUUCAAAUAAAUUGAGUCAUCUUUAUAUGAAAACUAGAGAACUUGGCUUUUCUCGCCCCCGUUUUUGAAGAAUAGUUGAAAUGAAACAACAACCACAUGUAAAUGCUUCCCGCCAU
rnacentral:lncRNA from 1 species